AUUGAACGCUGGCGGCAGGCUUAACACAUGCAAGUCGAACGCGUCGCGCACGUGUGAGUCUUGCUUGUGACUCUGCCUUAUGGCUGGGGAUACCGCCGGGAAACUGUCCCUAUUACCGCGUCCCUUAGGAUGAGCCCCAGUGGGAUUGGGUAGUUGGUGGGGUAAUGGCCUACCAAGCCGACGAUCUCUAGCUGGUCUGAGAGGAUGACCGGCCACAACGGGACUGAGACACGGCCCGGACUCCUAGGGGAGGCAGCAGUGGGGAAUAUUGCGCAAGGGGGGCAAGCUGACGCAGCCAUGCCGCGUGAAUGAAGAAGGCCUUCGGGUUGUAAAGUUCUUUCGGUGACGAGGCGGUAAUCAAAGAAGAAGCACCGGCUAACUCCGUGCCAGCAGCCGCGGUAAUUC
rnacentral:rRNA from 1 species